UCAAAUGGAAAUGGAGACUUGCACGGCCCCCUCCCCCUCCCACUCUCCCCUUUCCCCAGCAGCUCCACUCCCAGAUCUGCCCCUCAGAUCCCUCAUGAUUGGAAGCAACAUUGGGGCAGGAGGCACAGUGAGUCCAGACUUGAGAUGAAGAAUUUUUCCAUUCAGAGGUGAAGAGGCUAGGCUGUCCCCGGGAGCCGAGCGAACACCGUUGCAUGUAGCUGGCCUUCACUCCAGCCUCUCUUUUGGGUGGUGUGUUUGUUAUCAGGCCUGCAGUGUUGCUGUUCCUUCAGUGGCCCAGAGCUCUUUGGUGCCUUCCUUAAGGACACCUAGCUGAGAAGUGCUAAUCCGGAGGUCCAGACCAAGUAGCAAAUUUAAAAGACUAUAUCCGGCCCGUCAGACUUUGUUCCAAGGGACGGCACAUGCUAGCCCAGUCUCGUGGGGCAAAGUGGGACUGCAGGAGGAUCUACAUAAGUCCUGGUGUUUGUCCUGGACAGUCCUGACACACUCCUGAACAGGCAGAUCUUUUCCAUCCCCCUCCACCUAGUCCCUCUAGCAGUUCCUAGGAGAAGGGUGCUAACAGCCUGGAGACUAAUCCACUCCAAGUCACAAGCACUGUCCAGGGAAGCCCCAGUUUCUAAUCAACCUAGAAAGGAAAUAUCUAACAUGGUUUUCAUAUAGUUGGGGUGCUAUGGCUUCCUGAACUCUCACUUUGGCCCCGGUAUUGGCUGCCCCUUGCCUACUUCUUGGUGUACCCAACCAGCCACACUCAGCCAGCGGGCUGUGGGUAGAAAAAAAAGGGCUCGCUCGUAUCUGCUGACCAGGACAUGACUGGUGAGUGUUGUGUCCGUGGACCUGGAUGUGGACCACACAAAAAGCACAAGCAGAGCUAGAUUCCUGUGUGCUGGGGAACCUGGGAAGACAGUAGGUUUUUCUGAUUCUAGUUGCAUAGGAGAUCAAGCCAGUAUACCACACCUCCCGGCCUCGCCCCUCCCUUGGGCAGAGCAAGAAUUACCUCCUUCCCUUUAGCUCACAGAGAAGACUUAGCUUCCUAUUCCGUGGCAGGAUCAUUCAGGUGGGCUGAUGUACGUCAACUUGAACAACUAUUUCCUGUGCUUUUUACCCUUUAUGGUGAAUUCCUCUUCACCUGCACAUGCACACGCACACGCACACGCACACACACAGCAAAACUAGGAACUAGCUUGCUAAGUCUGGUCUAGCCUGGUCAGAUCAAGUUUUGGAGUUUGGGCUGGGAGGUAGGUAGUCCUAAAGGCAGGCUGGGGGAACCUUCUGUGUGUUGAUUAUCAAGUGUCUCGCCUUCCGGUUAAAUGCAAAGCACGGUGUAUAAAUGAGCUGGGUUCAUUGAUGCCAAGAGCUCCGACUGGGUUCUAACACUGGUCAGGGCACCCACGACUCACUAUGUUAGUGUCAGUUUAACAGUUGGCUACGUGGGCUGGGGGUAAUAUUAAUGAUUACUCGUGAGUUAAGUGGAUACGGACCUCUUACCUAGAAAGCUGCCGGCCUUUGCUAGUCUUUCUGGGCAGUGCACUGUGCAGGCUGUGAUUGGCAGCGCUGCUAGGAGCUCCGUGGAGAACGCACACAAAAGAUCCUGAAGCCACAGGAGGUUGGACCGGGCCUCGGUCUGGUGCUUCAUCCAGAAAAAGCCCCCGGAAAGUGCCGCUCUGAGUCCUCCAGUUCGGGAUGCCAAGGGCUGUGGGCUGGGCUUUAGUGGACCCGGAUCCAGACUUCAUCUCAGUGUUUUGAGGCAAGAGGAUCCCAAGUUCAAGGCCAACCUGGGCUGCACAGUAAGAUUUCUCCGCAAAAAGACAAAGCACAACCGUCAGAGAUGGCAGCGAGGGAAAGGUCACGGCAGACGGCACUCCCGUACAUGGAAAACUGAAGACGGAAUUCUAAAGGCGGACAAGCAGUGGCCAAAAUAUUGUGGAAAGUGGCCACCCCCUCCCUGAGACAGCUCAUUAGAAAGGCUGUGGAGUGCCAGAUCCCAGGAGGUGUGUCGGGAGGGGGUGACUGAGGCUCUCCGGACAAGAGGCCAGCUCCCUGUCUUCUGCUGAAUGUGGAUACCUACACAGCUGUGUCCCGCAACCAGCUUGUCUCAGGCCACAAGAAGUCUCAUCCAAAGCUGAGCCAGAUAAGGACCACCCCCUGUAGCUCCAGAAACUGUGGGUGCCUCCAAGAACUGAGAAGUAGCCUCCCAAUGGGUUCCCAGAAGUGGAGGAGGGCAGAACCGCUCUUAUAGGAUGUGUACAGGGUGUGUCUGUGUCCCAGUGGCUCACUGACUUGGUCACCAAUGAUCACACACACCAAAUCUCCAAGCUGCUUUAUUUUCAUUUAUUUAUUUUUGGUCUUUUUGAGACUGGCCUGGGACUUGCUAUAGAGACCUGGAUGACCUGGAAUGUACUAUGUAGACCAAGCUAACCUUAAGCUUUCUGUGAUCCCUCAGCCUCUUAACCUCUCAAGUAUUGGGCUUACAGGUGUGUGCCACGACGUCUAGCUUCCCCUGGAUAGUUGAAAGAGGACAGCCUUUAAGUUCCCCUUUAGUCCUUACCUUGCUAUGCUUCUUUAAAAAAAAAAAAAAAAAAAAAAAAAAAAAAAGCACUGACCUUGCUCCAUGACAGAGGGAGCUGUGGGUGUUUCUUGUCAUUGAGCGAACAACCUGCAAUACCACGGUCAGAUCCGGGCUGCUUGUUAUGAGGUCCCUUGAUGCCAUGAGACACAGUGGACCCAGGAUCCAUGGGGCUCUCACCGGUGUUGAUAGUGUCUCUUUAAUAAGGAGUGCAUUGAAAAGCAAGAAGAAGAAUGUAUAGUGAAUAUAGAUUACUAACAUGGUUGUUUCUUCUCAUUAUUAGGUGUGUCAGGUACGUAGCUGUCUGUGCUAUGCUUUUAAGGUCCUCGUAAAGCAAUAAACUUAUCUGUGCACCCGUGUCGGUACAAACAGAUGACUAAGGCAUUGCAUAAUGGCAGCAUCGUGGUCAUGUUCAGUCCAUUGUGAGUCGAAACAGUGCCGUGUGGCACACCACUGCUCAUCUGUGCAUAACCACAGUAUAUGCACCAGUAUACAUGUGCACACAUGUAUAUACAAAUGCAUGUAUGUGUAUGUCUCUAAGUCUGCAUGUAGGCGUUGUGUGUAUGUAUGCACACGUAUACGUGUGUGUAGUACAUGUGUUUUACCUGUACACAUGCACACAGAGGUCGGAAGAAAUACCCUGCUUUAUCUGUCUCCACUUAUUCCUGUGAGACAAGUUGUCUCACAAAACCUGGAGCUAAGCUGUUGGCCUGCAACCCUCCACACUACUGAACUUCAAGGUACAUACAUGUUCAGCCAUGUUGCUUUUUCCUUGGGAGCUGGGGAUUUGAACUCAGGUCCUCAUGACUGUGCAGAAAGUGCUCAUCCCAGAUCCCUUUUAUUUAAGUACAGACACAGCCGUGCCUCUGUGGGUUCUGAUGCGUCUCGGUGCGGUUGUAUCUCCUCGUUUCUGUUGUCUGGAAUUUCCAAGUGUUUUUGGAGGGUGCAGGCACUACACAUGUACCGUGGGGGUGUAGAAGUCUGUUUUAAAACCCAGUUAUUAGGAAAGAGGUUCCAAAGGGCAAAUGAAUAAAACAGUGGAGCUGAAGUGA